CUUUGAGGAAGCAGCCAUGGCGAGCAGCGGUGGGCAAAGGGUGCUGUCGACGAAGGAGGCCGACAUUCAGAUGAUGUUGGCAUCCGAAGUUCACCUCGGCACUAAAAACUGCGAUUUUCAGAUGGAGCGCUACGCUUUCAAGCGCCGCAACGAUGGUAAAUUGCGAUCGAAUCAAAAUGCCGUUUGGUGAUGACAGAUUUUCUUUUCUAUACUGCUAGUUUACUUUUUUCAUUUUUUUUUAUUGUGUGUACAAUCUCCGGUUUGUUAUGUGAAUGGAUUUAAGGUUUUGAAAACCAUUGGGGUUUAUGUACAAUCGUUUGUCGCAGCUUUUAACUGCUUGUCGUUUUGGGUGAAUUGCUUUUCUAUUGUUGCUAGGAACACUCAUUUUGGCAUUAGGAGAUACACUUAUUGGUUUCCUUUGACUGAUUAUCAGGAUUGAGCUCUGUGAAGUUUUUGAUGAAGUUGAUAUAUGUUUCCUUGGAUAUUGUAGUUGCUUCAUAAUAAGUAGUCGAGAUUUUCUAAUUAUCUGCUAGGAUGAUUAUAGUGUGGAUAUGCCUUUAUCAAUUCUAUUAUCUGUUGAGCCCUGUAAAGUUUUUGAUGGAGUUAAUUUAUGUUUCCUUGAAUACUGCAGUUGGUUCAGAAUAAGUAGUCAAAAUUUUCCAAUUGUCUGCUAGGAUAUUUACAGUGUGUAUAUGCUUUUAUAAAUUCUAUUGUCCGUUUCUCUUGAAUUGAACCUCCUAGGUUUCACAAAUGCUUUUGAGUUAGUUAAGUUUAUAGCUUUUGCUGUCAAAGGUCUCAAAACCAAUCAAUUGCGUUGUGAUGCUGACUUUCCCCAUGUUUGUCUGUGACUUGUCUGUCUAAAUUGCGCAUAUGAUAAAUCGGUCAGGAAUUUUUAUAAUCAAUGUUGGGAAAACGUGGGAAAAGCUUCAAAUGGCUGCAAGGGUUAUCGUAGCUAUCGAGAAUCCCCAGGACAUCAUUGUCCAGUCGGCCAGACCAUAUGGUCAGAGGGCCGUGCUAAAAUUUGCCCAGUAUACUGGCACUCAGGCAAUUGCAGGACGACACACCCCAGGAACUUUCACUAACCAGCUUCAGACAUCGUUCAGUGAGCCGAGGCUCCUCAUUCUUACUGAUCCGAGAACUGAUCACCAGGUCAUUGCUCACUUAUAGAUUGGUUUUAACCCGUUGUAGUUUCAUAUUAUUUUGGUUGGUGUUAUCUAUCAUUGCUCUGAUAUUCUAUUCUUUAACAGCCUAUUAAGGAAGGUGCUUUGUCUAGCAUCCCUAUCAUUGCCUUCUGCGAUACGGAUUCCCCUAUGCGCUACGUUGAUAUUGGUAUCCCGGCCAAUAAUAAGGGGAAGCACAGCAUUGGCUGCCUGUUCUGGCUGUUGGCCAGGAUGGUGUUGCAGAUGCGUGGAGUAAUUGCUCCAGGACACAAAUGGGAAGUCAUGGUAAAUAAGUCUUAAAUACUUGGUCUCGUUAUAAUACUUUCUUGCGAGGCUGUGCUUUUGAGCAUGAGGCAACUAGAAGAAUGCGUAAUGAAUUUAUGGUAGCUUGGGAUGGCUUGAGGUCAAAAGACAACCGGAGAAUCAUAGCAGGUUGAUUAACUAGUUCUUGAGGACUUGGUGCUUUAAACAUUGUAUGAUAGAUUUUUGUUUUAGCUAUAAGGUAGUUGGUAUUUUCAAUUUUGAAUCGGAAUAUGCAAUGAUGAUGUAUACUUGAUAUUUGGUUCAUUUGUAUAAUAAUGUAUGAAUUUUUUGGAUGAUAUAUAAUAUUGUUAUCGUUGAUUUUAUCAUUUUGUAGUUUUAUAAAAUUGCAAAAUUUAAAAUAUACUACAAUUAUAUAAAGUGCAAAAACUGUUAUAAAAGGUGCAAAAAAUCGUUAUGUAUUCUAAUUAAAGAUAACGGUUAAAUCGUUAUAAAAAGUGCAAAAAAUCGUUAUAAAAAGUGUCAAAAACCGUUAUGUAUUCUAUCAAAGAUAACGGUUAAAACCGUUAUAAAAAGUGCAAAAAACUGUUAACUAUGAUAAAAAAAUAAAAUAAUAAUAAUAAUACAUAACGGUAAAAUCUUAAUACAUAACGGUGAAAAACCGUUAUGUAUUCUAUCAAAGAUAACGGUUAAAACCGUUAUAAAAAGUGCAAAAAAACUGUUAACUAUGAUAAAAAAAAAAAAAUUAAUACAUAACGGAAAAAUCUUAAUACAUAACGGUGAAAAACCGUUAUGUAUAACCUUUAUAGAUAACGGAUGCGUACUGUUAUGUAUGACGCAUCGUACCGUUAUCUAUGCUACUAUACAUAACGGUUUUGAAACCGUUGUGUAUGACGUAUAGAAUAGAUAACACCACUAUACACAACGGUUUUUUUGCUCAUAGAUAACGGAUAAAAUCCGUUAUCUAUGAGCGUUUUCUAGUAGUGACUAUGUGUGAGCCACCGCUAGGUAAUGUGUGCACUAGUAUGGAGGUUCAUUAUAUGGUGUUAGUUGGCUUGGUAUGCUUUUAUGUGUGCCUGUGGCAGUUAGUGAUGCAUUAAUUACAAACCACAAAAUAGCUACCACCUUAUAUGUGUGGAAUCUUUACAAAAUGAUGAUUACAUGCUAAACAACAACUACAUAUAACUAGUUUGUUGCUUAUGCUGUNUCUCUCUCGUUCUUCCUUCUCCGGCGCAUCUCUCCGUCAGCCAUUUCACCCUUAUCGCCUCUUUCUAUGGCCUCUGAUGAAAUCCGGCGAGCCGCCGCUUUCAACGGCUCCAUGCUCUCUCUCCCUUCUUUGUCUUCCAAUGAACCCCCACCUCCAAAUCUAGAACCCUAAGACUUCGUACUUCUCCGCGCCGCCCUUUUCCGCCGACCUUUCCGCGCCGCCUUCUCUCCCCGUCAAUAUCCACGGACGCCUCCUUCUGUUCCGUCACAUCUCCCCCUCUCCCGUCGCCUCUCUCUCUUUCCCACGUCCAAAUUUUAAACCCUACGGUCGCCGCCCCCGCCAUCAGAUCCUCCGCCCCGCCCUUAGUGCGCCGGCUGCGUCGCCCCCACCCACCUCCUCUGGCCUCGGCGCUUCUGUUGGUCCGUCCGGUGACUCCACUAUUUCCUUGAAUGCCUCUAUUACCCUCGGCUGCAAUUCAGUCUACAAAUCUUAGAUUCACAAUCGCUGCCUUCGUUGUUAUCCGUCAAUACUUGUUGUCUCCACUUCACUGCGUUGCAGUUAUCCACAAUCAAUUCGUGAAAUUGAGGUAAGUUUUUUGGUCCGAUUGUUUGAUUUCAGUGUAGUUGAGGCUUCUUCUGAAAGUUUAUUAGUUCUGAACUAUGAUUAUCGGAUAGUAGCAGACAGAUUUCGUUUGUGUAAUUUGGUCGAAAAUCACUUCCGAACGGGUUCAUUUAUAGAGUCUUUACAUUUGUUUUCUGAUAUUAGUCUUUAAGAAGUCAUAGUGUGGAUGCUGAUAGUUGCAUUUUGUUGUGAAGAUAAUGGUAAUUGGUGAUGAAUUUUGUCAUAGAGAAGUAUGGGUGACAUCUUCAAUUGGUGAUGAGUUUAACUGCUUUGGGAAUAUCCUGUUUGACUAAAGGUUACGAUUCUCAUAUGGAUAGCACUUCUUCCAUAGAAGGAUUAUAAAGAAAAAAAUACUUAAACUCUCACAAUUUGUCUGUUUUCUAUUUCCGUUCAUUGCUGAUCUCACUUAAGACGAGGUAUUCUUUCUCACAAAUCCUGUUAAUUUACUAAUAAAUUAGAUACUAUAAAGGAUUUAAACAGAUUGACGCUAUUAAGUCGAGACUCGAGCAGGAGUGCCUUGCAAUUAUGUCUUGUGCUGAUAUUGUAGUUUUAUCAGCAAGAGUGGGUGGAGAUCAGUUCUCUCUCUCUCUCUCUCUCGCCAUUUCCUAUUCUCUGUAGUAGAGAAUAGUUUCAAGGUCUACUCUCAAUUCCUCUUUGUUUUAUUUUGUGCGUGUUUUAAAAUGUGUGGUGUUGUAGAAUGGUGCUAAUGGAGUUUUGUGUGAUGGUAUUUUGUGGUUUUAGGGUUCAAUUUGUGAAGUUUGUGUUAACUAGAUUCUGCUUACAGAUUAGUCGUUGUAACUAGGAAUAUGAAUUUAUCAGCAAUAUUAUCCUUGAAGAGACACUAAUGAGGUUUCUAUUUGUAGCUAGAUUCUAUUUGUAGUGUUCAGAUCACAUGCACUACUCAUAAUGAGGUUUCUCCUGUUUGAGAUUAAUUCUGCUCUGCAUGUUAUUCAGAUUGGAAAAAUAUCAAAGAGAUCAAUGACUCAUCCUUAAGUAGUUACAUCUUCAUUUCUUUUUAUAAUGUUAAUUUAUGAAGGAGAUUAUUAGUUUCUUACCUCUCAGCUAUGAGAGCAUGUUCCUGAAAAUCCUUUGAGGAAGCAGCCAUGGCGAGCAGCGGUGGGCAAAGGGUGCUGUCGACGAAGGAGGCCGACAUUCAGAUGAUGUUGGCAUCCGAAGUUCACCUCGGCACUAAAAACUGCGAUUUUCAGAUGGAGCGCUACGCUUUCAAGCGCCGCAACGAUGGUAAAUUGCGAUCGAAUCAAAAUGCCGUUUGGUGAUGACAGAUUUUCUUUUCUAUACUGCUAGUUUUACUUUUUUCAAUUUUUUUUUAUGUGUGUACAAUCUCCGGUUUGUUAUGUGAA
rnacentral:lncRNA from 1 species